UUCAAAAUCCUCCCCAAAAAACCUUCGAGAACGUUCCGUCCGCCAUGGACAUCUACUCCACGCCCUCCCCUCCUUCCUCAAGUCGGUCGAGCUCCGCCUCCACCGACCCCGCCCACCUCUCCACCACAGCCUCGCUCCCUCCGCCCGCACGCUGAUACCACCUAGAAGGGUCGCUUCGCGGAACCGCCCUGUUUCAGGACGAGGUCGAUCGGGCCGUGGACGCCAGCGUUAGCCACGCCGGCUCGGCUGCCUGGAUCCAGGUGGUCGACGCUGAUGUGCCUUGCGUUGCUGCAUUUCUCGCCUUCGUGCAGCAGACUGUUAACGAGCCUAUUCGAAAAUUUCUUCCGUUUCCUCUACGAUUUCCUCAGACGGAGGGGCGUAAUGAUGGCGGAGGCGAGUGGGACGCGAGAGCACGAAACCAAUUGAUUUCCAUGGCUCUGAUGUGUUUGGAAAUAUUUUCUCUGAGGACUUGUUACAUGACAUGCAUGGCUUGUCUAGCAAGUUGGAUCCACAUGACCUCAUUUAACCUUCUGAAUUAUGUGAUCAUUCGCGUUCAGCAGCCGUGCCAUCAUCAGAGUUAAAAGAAAGGGAAAAAAAUAGAGAGAGAGAGAGAGGCUAAAGCAUUGUCAUUUCGCUUCCAAUGAUCAAAGAAAUAUUCCUGACAAAUAAUCAUCCACAUGAUUGGCACUCGGACCCUCGCUGACACCGCGUAAGCAAUUAUGAUACAUUUUCCUUUCUCAGAAAGCAAGAUCCCCCCCCAAAAAAAAAGGGGAGGAAAGUUGCAGUCCUGCACAGUCACAAGUCAAAUGUGAGUUUCUACCUUCUCUCAGACUGAAAACUUCGAUUCUGGAGCCGGAUUUUCAUAGCAGCGUUCAGAAAGGAAGCAGAACCACUCUCAAAAAACAGAUUCCAUGCCCAAAUUGCUUAUGGCUGCCUUGCAAGAAGUUAAGUACGGUACAGCUGAGGCUUGUCUGGCUAUUCACUCUGAUCUGUGAAACAUUUGCAUGGUACGCAGCAAAACUCCAAACUAUAUAAUAUAUACACACUACGCCCAUCACAUAAAGCUGUGUUUUCCCAAGUUAUUCCUCAGUUUUUAUCGAUCCUUAUUCCCUGUCUUCUAGCAAGUCCAGAUCUUACAGAUUGAUUGCAGAAAAAGGCACAAGUAUUCUUUCUCCGAACACAGAAGCCUGCUAAAGAAGCGGAAUAUUAUGAUGUCAAGGAAGGCAUGUCCUAGUGGGGAACAACACAUGGGAUGAGAGGAGCAACAUGAUCUCGAGAUCGAUGCAGAGGAGGGAAGCCGGUCCUCUUUUUAUGGGACUACGAGACGGAAGAUAAAGAAAGUUACAGCGAGGGCGAGCAGUACUUGCACAGUGCGGCCAGACAAGUUCCGACCUUUCGUUUUCUUUUCGGGAUUGAAAAUCCCGACGAAACUGUUAAGAAGAUUCAGAGCGAGCAGCCUAGCGCCGGAAUCGUACCUGGAGACCUCCUCCCAGAGGGGGCCCUUGAAUGUGGCUUCCCGGAAGGCGGCGUCCAUCUCGGAGCGGAUCUUGAGCAGCGCCAGCGUCUCCUGCCGCGGCCAGCGGUUGCCGGGCGCGCCGCCGGCGAGCGCCUCCUCGUCGAUUGCGUACCCGGCCGCGUCAAAGUUCACCAUGCCCGAGUCCGGCGCGCGACUGCUGAUCGGAGAGACCGCCUCUGCCGGCGGCGGCAGGCAGCUCGGGAAUGGAGCCAAGGUAGGGAAUUGCGGUGCUCCGUCCGCCGCCGCCGCAGCCCGCGGCGGCCCCGGCGGUGCCUGCUGCUGCAUGGACUUCCCCGCGCUCACUGAACUACAAUUUCGCUAAUUUUUAGAGCUCAGCGACGUAAAAGCUUCUGAAAUCAGUACAGCAAGCAAA